UUAAAUUGAAGAGUUUGAUCAUGGCUCAGAUUGAACGCUGGCGGCAGGCCUAACACAUGCAAGUCGAACGGUAACAGGAAGCAGCUUGCUGCUUUGCUGACGAGUGGCGGACGGGUGAGUAAUGUCUGGGAAACUGCCCGAUGGAGGGGGAUAACUACUGGAAACGGUAGCUAAUACCGCAUAACGUCGCAAGACCAAAGAGGGGGACCUUAGGGCCUCUUGCCAUCGGAUGUGCCCAGAUGGGAUUAGCUAGUAGGUGGGGUAACGGCUCACCUAGGCGACGAUCCCUAGCUGGUCUGAGAGGAUGACCAGCCACACUGGAACUGAGACACGGUCCAGACUCCUACGGGAGGCAGCAGUGGGGAAUAUUGCACAAUGGGCGCAAGCCUGAUGCAGCCAUGCCGCGUGUAUGAAGAAGGCCUUCGAGUUGUAAAGUACUUUCGGCGGGGAGGAAGGGAGUAAAGUUAAUACAUUUGCUCAUUGACGUUACCCGCAGAAGAAGCACCGGCUAACUCCGUGCCAGCAGCCUCGGUAAUACGGAGGGUGCAAGCGUUAAUCGGAAUUACUGGGCGUAAAGCGCACGCAGGCG
rnacentral:rRNA from 1 species